GCCUACGGGGGGCAGCAGUGGGGGAUAUUGCACAAUGGGGGGAACCCUGAUGCAGCGACGCCGCGUGGGUGAAGGAGCGUUUCGGCGCGUAAAGCCCUAUCGGCAGGGAAGAAGGAGGACGGUACCUGACUAAGAAGCCCCGGCUAACUACGUGCCAGCAGCCGCGGUAAUACGUAGGGGGCAAGCGUUAUCCGGAUUUACUGGGUGUAAAGGGAGCGUAGACGGCAGCGCAAGUCUGGAGUGAAAUGCCGGGGCCCAACCCCGGAACUGCUUUGGAAACUGUGCGGCUCGAGUGCGGGAGAGGG
rnacentral:rRNA from 1 species